GACGAACGCUGGCGGCGUGCUUAACACAUGCAAGUCGAACGGUAAGGCCCUUCGGGGUACACGAGUGGCGAGCGGGUGAGUAACACGUGGGUGAUCUGCCCUGCACUUCGGGAUAAGCCUGGGAAACUGGGUCUAAUACCGGAUAGGACCCUGGGAUGCAUGUCCUGGGGUGGAAAGCUUUUGCGGUGUGGGAUGGGCCCGCGGCCUAUCAGCUUGUUGGUGGGGUGAUGGCCUACCAAGGCGACGACGGGUAGCCGGCCUGAGAGGGAGACCGGCCACAGUGUGAUGGGGAAACGCCCAAGACCCCUACGGGAGGAAGCGGUGGGAAAUAUUGGAAAAUGGGCGUAAGCCUGAUGCAGCGACCCCGCGGGAGGGAUGACGGCUUUCGGGUUGUAACCCUCUUUCAGCACCGACGAAGCGAAAGUGACGGUGGGUAAAGAAGAAGGACCGGCCAACUACGUGCGAGCCGCCGCGGUAA
rnacentral:rRNA from 1 species